GCCUGGACUUUGUGUUCUGACCAUAUCUCAUGCACCAACUUGCAGGCCAUUGACCGUGUCUCUAUGAAUCAUGCACGCACUAGAGUCAUGUACCAAAAUCAUGCACCAGUUUCACAAUUAUGCACAAUAAAUCUUUCCUAUGGGCCACCACUGGGCUAAUAAUUUCCUACUUUGUCAAGGGUAGUUUAGGGCUUUGUAUUAUAUAGCAGAGUUGUUUUUCCACAUAUGUUUGGUAUUGUAUUUUGUAUUUUCAUAUGUGUUUUAUUAGUGGGUUUU
rnacentral:lncRNA from 1 species